rnacentral:RNase_P_RNA from 1 species
GUGGGCGGAUAAUCGCGCGGAAUUUUAAAUUUCGUGAGGAAAGUCCGGACAUCCAAAAAGGCAGGUUGCUUGGGAAAGCCAAGUGCGCGUGAGCGUGAGGACAGUGCCACAGAAAAGUAAAAUGCUGUGCGCAGCACGCAAGCGGCUGCGAUGAGCAGGCGCGAAGUGCGAAGACCUUAGAUGACCGCCGUUGCGACCGUAGCGAAAGCGAAGGGAGCGAAGCAAUCUAUGAUUGCACAGGCGGAAAAACAUCAGGUGUGUGAAACCUAGAAGGGAAGGCGAGAGCCUUGCCGAUAGGGCAUAACCGUACCAGUGAGCGCAGGGUUAAUCACACCACACAGCGAUUGUGCAACGGCGGAGUAAGAGCCCACCGCUAAAGUCGUGAGACUUUAGGCAUGGUAAACCCCAACCGGAUGCAAGUUUGAAUUUGCAAAAAGAGUGCCUUUUCUCGUUUCAUUUUGAAAAUUGCAUAAAAAAACGCAUUAGACAGAUGAUUAUCUUAAAAACAGAAUCCGGCUUAUUGCCCACUUU